CAGGUGCCGGAUAUCAUCUCGUGAAAUUCUAUGGCAGUACUGGCUGUGCCUGAGAAACCUCCUGCCACUCAAGCCCAGCAAGUCUUAUGAAGCAAGCUGCCUACAGAAAUGUCCAUGUGUCAGGAAACUGAAGCUGGCUCAUGGUCAGCAGCCAGCAAGCUACAAAGGGCUUCCAACAGCCCAUGAAGCACUGAGUCCUGCCAAAAGCCACGUGCAUGAGCUUAGAAGAGCUUCAUCCUCCAGGCUAGGAAAGAGACAGUCGGUGUGCAGCAAGAGAAAAGAGAGGAGGAAACAUGUGGAAAGACCCAAAGAAUGAAGACACAAGAGCAUGCCUGAAUGCAAUGGGAAGUAGAUCAGUUGACCUUUGCUGAAUAACAAGGUGGACCUAAAACUGGGUGACUUGAAACAGUAAGGCAACUGAGACUAAAGAAAAUCAAGUGACUUUCCUACUGACAGAGUUCAUCAUUGGUAAUGCCAAAUGCUCUGUAUUGAACCCCACCCCAAAGUUCUUAUGCAGAAAUCUUAAACCUGAGUACCUCAGAAUGCACCGUAUUUGGAGAAAGACUCUUUACAAGACUUAAAAUGAGGUCACUGGGGUGAGCCUUAGUCUAAUAUAAAUAGUGUCCUUCUAAAAAGAUGAAAUCUGAAGAAAGAUAAAGCACACAUGUGAAGAUAAAAGCAGAAAUCAGAGUGGUGUUCCUCCAAAGCCUUCGAAGAAAAGGGAUUGCCAGCAAACCGCCUGAAGCUUGAAGACAGGUGUGGGACAGAUUCUCCCUCACAGCCUCAGAAGGAACCAGCCCUGACAACACCUUGAUCUUGGACUUCUGAGACACAUUUUUGUUGUGUAAGCCACCCUGUCUGUGGUACUUUGUUAGAGCAGGUUUGGCCAGCCAUUGCAGCAAGGCUCAAUGCAUGUCUGUCUAAAACACAGCACUUAUCACCCACUUACCAGCAGGCUGAGAGCCAAGAAGGGCACACACACACACACACAGACACCACAUACACACACAUCACACACACACACACACACAAAUAUACAUGCACAUUUAAGUUACUACAAAAUUUCAGAAACUAAAGCUCAUGCACAAUGGUCCAAAGACCACUCUCAGGCCAUCAUGUAGCAUCCAUUAUGGAUUAUUGUAUUCAUAGUUCUAACCAAUGUGACGAUGUAUUUUCCAAUCAGUUAGAGAAGAGAUAGAUUGAAGAAAACGUCAGCUAACAUGUGCCAAACAUUAUGUUUAUGACUUGCAGUGAUAACAGAACAUUUCUUUCUAACAAAACCCUUCUGAUUUACAAAUGUGUAUUACAAUAUACAAUGAACAUAAACUGUCUCCAAAAUAUCCUGGAAUUUCAAAAGAAUGGUAGUCUAUAGAAGUCAAAGGUAAAAUCUUAGUUACCUAAAAUUAUUCUUAGGAUUCCACUGUAUUGCUUUCCUCUUUUCAAAUUUAUUUUUUAAAUUGGCAUAUAAACUUGUAUACAUUUAUCAUGUAAAACGUGAUGUGUUAUAGCAUGUAUACUUUGUAAAUGGUUAAAUCUAGCUAAUUAACAAAUGUUUUACCUCACAUAGCUAUUAUUUUUGUGAUGAGAACACUUAAUAUCCACUCUCUUAACAUUGUUCAAGAGUAUAAUAUGUAUUAUUUUCUAUAGUCACCAUGCUGUACAAUAUAUCUUUUGAACUUAUUCCUCUUAUCUGAGUGUAUAUAUGUAUUCUUUGACUAACAUCUCCUCAAACUUUUCUUUUCCCUAACCAGUCAGCCUCUGCUAACCAUUAUUCUAUUUUCUACUCUUACGAGACAAACAUUUUUAGAUUCUACGUAUGAGUGAGGUCAUGCAGUCUUUGUCUUGCUGUGACUGGCUUAUUUCAAUUAACAUGAGGUUCUCUAGGUUCAUUCAUGUUGUCACAAAUGGCAGGAUUUCCUCACUUUUUUUUUAUUGCUGAUUGGUACUUCAUUGUGCGUAUGUACCACAUCUUCUUUAUCCAUUCAUCCAUUAAUGAAUAAUUAGGUUGUUUCCAUAUCUUGGCCAUUGCAAAUAAUACUGCAGUAAAUAUGGAAGUGCAGAUAGCUCUUUGAUAUACUGAUUUCAUUUCCUUUGAGUAUAUACCCAGUGUUGUGAUUGCUGAGUCAUAUGGUAGUUCUAUUUUUAAUUUUUUGAGGAAUCUCCAUACUGACUUUCAUAAUGGCUGUACUAAUUUACAUUCUCAUCAACAUCAUGUAAGAGUUCCCUUUUCCCAUGAAAUUAAACAGCAUUUCAAUGCAGCAUAAUGAUGUAUAUAAUGAUCUCCCAAAAUAUCACAAAAAUAAGGAUAAUUUUUCAAGUGUCCUGUCUUAGAACACAGGAAAAUAUGCUUUAUCACUAAGAAAAAAAACUUUACCAAGCAUAUUUAUAAUUCCAGAUUUAAAGGCUUUAAUGAGCCAAGUUUUAUCAAUCCCCCAACAUUUAGUCACUCUAGAAAUCAUAAUUUUCUGAGGUUCGAGGAGGUAAGUUUCGCCUGAACUAAUCCUACCACGUUCUCUCCUCCACUAUCACUUAGGCACAGCCACUUGGAGAACAGAAGAGUGUUAAUCACUUUUCCUAGAGUCGUUUUUAAUACUGUUUUCUAGGGUGCAGAGUGACCAGUUUUCUGCCUCUAAUUAGCAAACUCAUCAUUUGAAGUGUGACCUAGGCCAGGCCAGCGGACUUUCAAUGAAUUUCUUAAAGAUGCCUCACUCUGGUUGUGCUCCUCGCAAGUUAAAUCCACCCCACGGGUAUUUACAAGAAGCCUGCACAAGGACAAGCUCAGUGUUAGGAGGGGCUGUCAGUGGAAGUGGAAGACAACGCAGACAUCUACACACCUUAUGUUUGGGGAGUGGAGGAGAAGGAGACCGGAUCGGGACAGGGAAGGGCAGAUGGGGCAAGAUCCAUGAGUCUUGAACUAUGAGUUUUUAGGGCUGCCAUGACAAGGCAACACACACCGAGUAGCAUAAACAACAGAAAGUCACUGUCUCUCAGUUCUGGAGGCUGGAAGUUCAAGAACAACGUGUGGGUGGCAUCGAUUUCUUCUGAAGGCUAUGAGGAAAGAAUCAGUUCCAAGCCUGUCUCCCUGGCUUGUAGAUGGCCACCUUAUCCUUGCAUCUCUUUACAUUGUCUUUCCUCUAUGUGGGUCCCUGUGUGCAAAUCCCCCCUUUUUAUAAGGACACCAAUCACUCAAUCAAGACCCAUCCUAAGGACCCCACUGUAACUUGAUUACUUCUGUUGCAAUCUCUAUCUCCAAAUAACUUCACAUUCUGAAGUACUAGGUGUUAGAACUUCGAAACAUGAAUUUGGGAGAAGACAUAAUUCAGCUCACAGCAGGUGUUAUUUCAGCUUUAAACACUGUUCUUUACCCCAGGUUACUCAAAGCAGUUAAUAAAAAUUAUAAGAAAGAGGGUGUGUGCUUCCUGAGCUCUGAGGAAAUGAGGGGAGAGAAUAUGUGACAUACUAAGCUCUGAAUUUCUGUGACCCACAGUCUCCUUCAGUUUCCUUAAAUGAAUGCAUUGCUUCUCUCCAAGGAAAUGAACUUGAUUGACUCUAGCUAGUAUUAAGGAAAACGGCCUCUGGGCUUCCCUUAACUGUAACUUAAAGAAAUCCUAGUGUGAUAAAACCAUGUUCAUAUUAGUGCUUUGCUGAGGGCUAAGUACCAUGUUCUUGCUCAUGAGAUGAGGACAGUAAAAUUGCAAGGAUGGAAUCACAUAUAGCAGAUUUGAGCAGCGAGUGUGUGAACGUAGCAAACAGCUGAAAGAGGAAUUUGUUUUUAAAGUUCAGCUAACAUUUAUCAGUUAUGGCUGUUACCAAGGUUAAUAUUGCUGCUUGCCAGGAUGUAGGUGAAGAAAACAGACUUCUGAAUCAGACAACCCUUGGAAUAAAGUCCCUGCUCUGAGAUCUACUUGUGAUAAUCCUGCUUAAACCAAUAAAACCUCUCUAAGUCUCAGGGUCCUUGUCUGUAAAAUGGUUUAAUGAUUCCCACCCCCACCAGGAUUCAUAUAAAAAUUACACAUGUUCACUGACAUUUAUUAAAUGUUAAAAAUGCACAAAAAUAGAAAAACAAAACAAAAUUAAAAGGUUGCAUCUUUCACCUAUUGCACAAUUUAUGUUGGGGUCUUCACUGAAGACUCAGCAUAUCAUUAUGCUGUUAAACAAAAAAAGAAAAAUAUAUUAGCUACCACUUUUCUUCCCUCCACGUUCAAUGUUCCUAUAUUAAUGUCUUCAGUGAGGAAGGAUCUGUAUAAUUAGCCAUUCAGGUAUGAAUUCAUUUUCAAAGUAGAGAAAGAUGAUUAAUUUGUUAAUGGAUGAGUAUAUUCACUGGUUAAUGAAUUUUAUAACUUGGCUAAAUUCUGUACCUGUUCAAUGAGGUUUUAUUUUAUAUGUAUUCACUAAGCACAGAUUUUCAUUAUGUAAAUUGCACUUUAUGAAUAUUUAUUUGGUAAAGUUCCAUUUUUUAACAUUUAAAUGUAUUUAAUGCCCUUAGAUGAAUUUUGAUGUUCUAUGGAAAGCAGUAAGAACAGAAGUAGUGAUGCCUGCCAUGAGUCUUUGUUUGAAGAAAAACGCUCUACACCAUUAAAAAAAAAAAGUGAGGGCCCCACUUCUCAGAGCAGUGGCCUGUAAAAAGCAAAAACAGAAACAACAACAAAAAAGAAUUUUAGUGAAUGAAUUAGUAAGUUGCUGUACGAGUAAAAUGAUUAAUAUCAGCUGGUGGACACAGAUGGGAUUCUUAAAUGAGCAGACCCAAUACAUUGUUCUUUCAGAACUUUUAAGUAUAUGUGCACAGCUUGUUUUUGUUUUUGUUUUUUGCUUUUUUUUUUUUUUAAGACAAAGUCUUGCCCUGUUGCCCAGGCUGGAGUGCAGUGGAGCGAUCUCGGCUCACUGUAAGUUCUGCCUCCUGGGUUCACACCAUUUUCCUGCCUCAGCCUCCCGAGUAGCUGGGACUACAGGUGCCUGCCACCACGCCUGACUAAUUUUUUUGUAUUUUUAGGAGAGAUGGGGUUUCACGCCGUGUUAGCCAGGAUGGUCUCGAUCUCCUGAUCACGUGAUCCACCCGCCUCGGCCUCCCAAAGUGCUGGGAUUACAGGUGCGAGCCACCGUGCCCGGCCAGAUUGUGUUAAACAUUUAACAUGGAUUGGCUGAUGUAAUCUUUACAACACCUCUAAUGACAUUAGACCCCCUUUUACAGAUGAGAAAAGUAAGUUGGAGAUGCAAUUGAUUUCUUAAGUCACUAAGAUGCUGUGAGACUAAGGAUGACUCCGUGUAGCCUGACUCUGGAUAUCAGUGAUUGUGCUUUGUAUGAGAACAGGUGCAGCCUGGAAUAGAGUACAUGGGUUUCCAUUCAGGAACAAGGUCUAUCUGGGGAGAGGAAAAAAUGUCAUAAUAGUGAUGGGUUAAAUUUAUUAAGGGCUUAUUAUGGGUGGGCACUUCACAUGUCAUACCCUAGUUAUUCCUCAAAAUAAACCAUUGAAAUGGGUAUUAUCAUUCUCAUUUUACCGCUAAGAAAACUGAGGCACAGAGAAGUUCUCUUUGUUCAUUUAGGCUGUUAUAACACAACAUGAUACUGGGUGGCUUAAACAUCAAAAAUUUAUGUAUCACAGUACUGGAGGCCAGGAAGUCCAAGGUCAAAGGGUCAACAGGUUUCAUGUUUGCUGAGGGGCUACUUUCUGGUUCAUAGAUGGCUAUUUUGUCACUGUUACCUCACAUGGAAGAAAGUAGAGGGAUCUAUCUGGAACCUCUCUAAUGAGGGCACUAAUCCUAUUCAUGCAGGCUCCACCCUCAUGACCUAAUCAUUGGCCAAAGACCUUACUUCCCAAUAUCACUAUAUUGAGGAUUGGGUAUCAACAUAAAUUUUGGGAAGAACACAGACUACAGCAGAAGUUAUGUAACUUGCCCAAGUUCAAAUGGUUACCAAGUGAUGAAGCCGGAAUUGCAGGCUCAUUACCGCACUGCUAGACUCCCACUUGAGAAGGGGGCUGAGUCUGCUCACAUCUUUCUUGCUUUCAGCAGAAAUAGCUUAGACACAGGAAUAAGUCUGAUUCUGAAUAGGAUGUCCUAGGGUCCACUCUAGGGUAGGGAUGUCAGAAUGACAGAGGCAUGAGCUGACACUUAUGGAUUCUUCUCAGGAUCCCAAAAUUAAUAUUUUAUUUAACUUUUAGUUUGUCUUUUCAGCGGAAGCCACAUGCAGAAAAGAAGUAUAAAAUGGCAUACUAUAGUAUGCAGUAUCCAGAUAGACCUUGUUCUUGAGUGGAAACACAUCUACUCUAUUCUAGGCUGCUCCUCUUCUCAUGCAUACUAUAAUGGCAUAUUAUAGUAUGUAAGCCAUUAGCACUAACUUAUGGUUCAGGAAAGCAAUCCAUUGCUGUGCUACUUCACAGCACCCUUUUACCUCAGUCAUGGGCCCAUCUCACUGUGAGAUGCAGUCACCUAGUCCAAGAUUGCCCCCCGACCCCAAAGAAACCUAGCAUUAUCAAGAAAUUAUGAUGCAUUGUGUCCAUGUACUUGUUGACAUCGGAGCUUGUCAUUCCCAAAGGCCCAUUAAAAAGGGAAGUGGAGCCAGGCAUGGUGGCUCAUGCCUGUAAUCACAGCACUUUGGGAGGCUGACACGUGUGGAUCACCUGAGGUCAGGAGUUUGAGACCAGCUUGUCCAACAUAGUGAAACCCCAUCUCUGCUAAAAAUACAAAAAAUUAGCCAGCUGUGGUGGUGGGUGCCUGUAAUCCCAGCUACUCAGGAGGCUGAGGCAGGAGAAUCGCUUGAACUUGGGAGGUGGAGGUUGCAGUGAGUCAAGAUCACACCACUGCACUCCAGCCUGGGCAACAAGAGUGAAACUCCGUCUCAAAAAAAGAAAAAAAAAAAAAGAAAGAAAAAAAAAAAAGAAAGUGAAGUGGAGAACAAUAAUUUUAAAAAAGGGUUUUUAGGAAUAACAAAAUAUUCAACAAUACCCCUUUUAAGAAAACAAUAAGAUUCAUUGUCCUUAAGAGAAUAGUACAAUACUUCCAGAAUUUAUAGCAACAGGAAAUGGUACCUGCUGGAUGGAUUGUAUAAUUCAGGUAAUAACCAAGGGACCAUUCAAUGACACUUUCCAGGUGUUCUGGCAUACUUCAAAGGAGUCAUUUGAAGACCAAAUAGGCAAGGAAAUAAACAGAGCCAGAGGAGUAUCACAUGGCCUAAAAUAUGAUUUCUCAACAGAACCUAGAUUCAAUGGAAAAAAUUAAAAAAUCUUUAAACAAAAAUACAAAACAAAACAACAUAAUAACACUCCUAUAACAAGGUCUACCAAUAAUAUUAGUCAUAGGUGGGACUGCCAACUUCCCAGGGGUCAUCUAUACUUCCUUAGAAAUAAAUAAAACGAUGGAAAUUUUCUACUAGAAGAUUUUGAAAACCCUGAGGAUCAUUGAGGACUUAUAAUGUGGAACACAGCAGAGAUGGUGAGGGCAGCAACUUAAUUAAAAUAUCAGGCUCACACAUGAUCAUUUAUUUAGGUACUUCUGCACAUCAGCAAUGUGGACCUUUACAUUCAUGAUUUCAUUUAAUCCUCACCAUAAGUCCCAAGAAAGAAAAAUCAUUCUUGAUUCCAAUUGGGGAAAUCAAACACAGAGCAAUUAAGAAAAUUGUCUAAAGUGACACAGCUCAUUAGCAGUAGAACCAAAUUUUACCCACUUCAAGGUAAAGACCAUUCUGUUCUGAGACUGGAACCCUGACUUUAUUAUUCAAUUUUAAACAUGGCAAAAACAGCAACAACAACAACAGUAACUUGUUCUUUAACUUUCCAUGACGGGUUUAAGCAAAGAACAAUUAGAAAUAGUUGAAAACGAAGUAUGCUUCAUUGAAGAUCAAAUCGUAGUACCAAAGAAUGACCUCCUUGACUCAUUCUUCUCCCCUUCAG
rnacentral:lncRNA from 10 species